GAUGAACGCUGGCGGCGUGCCUAAUACAUGCAAGUCGAGCGAACGGACGAGAAGCUUGAUUCUCUGAUGUUAGCGGCGGACGGGUGAGUAACACGUGGAUAACCUACCUAUAAGACUGGGAUAACUUCGGGAAACCGGAGCUAAUACCGGAUAAUAUUUUGAACCGCAUGGUUCAAAAGUGAAAGACGGUCUUGCUGUCACUUAUAGAUGGAUCCGCGCUGCAUUAGCUAGUUGGUAAGGUAACGGCUUACCAAGGCAACGAUGCGUAGCCGACCUGAGAGGGUGAUCGGCCACACUGGAACUGAGACACGGUCCAGACUCCUACGGGAGGCAGCAGUAGGGAAUCUUCCGCAAUGGGCGAAAGCCUGACGGAGCAACGCCGCGUGAGUGAUGAAGGUCUUCGGAUCGUAAAACUCUGUUAUUAGGGAAGAACAUAUGUGUAAGUAACUGUGCACAUCUUGACGGUACCUAAUCGGAAAGCCACGGCUAACUACGUG
rnacentral:rRNA from 1 species